rnacentral:rRNA from 1 species
GACGAACGCUGGCGGCGUGCUUAACACAUGCAAGUCGAACGGAAAGGCCCUGCUUUUGUGGGGUGCUCGAGUGGCGAACGGGUGAGUAACACGUGAGUAACCUGCCCUUGACUUUGGGAUAACUUCAGGAAACUGGGGCUAAUACCGGAUAGGAGCUCCUGCUGCAUGGUGGGGGUUGGAAAGUUUCGGCGGUUGGGGAUGGACUCGCGGCUUAUCAGCUUGUUGGUGGGGUAGUGGCUUACCAAGGCUUUGACGGGUAGCCGGCCUGAGAGGGUGACCGGCGACAUUGGGACUGAGAUACGGACCAGAAUCCAACGGGAGGCAGUAGUGGGGAAUAUUGCACAAUGGGCGGAAGCCUGAUGCAGCAACGCCGCGUGCGGGAUGACGGCCUUCGGGUUGUAAACAGCUUUCGCCUGUGACGAAGCGUGAGUGACGGUAAUGGGUAAAGAAGCACCGGCUAACUACGUG